AGCCUUCUGUAUCCGUGCUGAGAUUUCGUCACACACCACACCACAAGGGCUGAUGAGACUUGCAAGAUCUACAUGCU
rnacentral:pre_miRNA from 1 species